AACGAACGCUGGCGGCGUGUUUAAGACAUGCAAGUCGCACGGUGUCGUCUAUGUAGCAAUACUUGGAUGGCACAGUGGCGCACGGGUGAGUAACACGUGGAUGACUUGCCCUGCAGAGGGGGAUAGCCCAGGGAAACUUGGAUUAAUACCCCAUGGUAUCGCGAGAGUAAAGGGUGGGCGCAGGGCUGCCGCUGCAGGAGUGGUUCGCGUUCUAUCAGCUUGUUGGCGGGGUAACGGCCCACCAAGGCUACGACGGAUACCUGGUCUGAGAGGGCGAUCAGGCACACUGGGACUGAGACACGGUCCAGACACCGACGGGAGGCAGCAGUAGGGAAUAAUGCACAAUGGGCGCAACCCUGAUGGUGCAACGCCGCGUGGACGAUGAAGGCUUUCGGAUUGUAAACUCCUGUCAUCCGGGAGCAACACCUGGCCCUGACUAGCGCACAGGGUUGAUAGUACCUGAAGAGGAAGCGACGGCUAACUUCGUGCCAGCCGCCGCAGUAAGAC
rnacentral:rRNA from 1 species